rnacentral:rRNA from 1 species
AGCGAACGCUGGCGGCGUGCCUAACACAUGCAAGUCGAACGUGAAAGGGAGCAAUCCUGAGUAAAGUGGCGUACGGGUGAGUAACGCGUAGGUAAUCUACCCCAAAGUCUGGAAUAACCUGCCGAAAGGCGGGCUAAUACUGGAUAGAGCGAUGGAAUCCGUAAUUGGGUUUUUCGGGAAAGGGAGCUCGCAAGAGCCUUCGUUUUGGGAUGAGCCUGCGUCUCAUUAGCUAGUUGGUGGGGUAAUGGCCCACCAAGGCUUUGAUGGGUAGCUGGUCUGAGAGGAUGAUCAGCCACACUGGAACUGAAACACGGUCCAGACUCCUACGGGAGGCAGCAGUGGGGAAUCUUGCGCAAUGGACGAAAGUCUGACGCAGCCACGCCGCGUGAGUGAAGAAGGCCUUCGGGUUGUAAAGCUCUGUCGCCCGGGACGAAAAUUUAUUGGGUGAAUAGCCUAGUGAACUGACGGUACCGGGAGAGGAAGCACCGGCUAACUCCGUGCCAGCCGCCGCGGUAAAAC